rnacentral:rRNA from 1 species
AUUGAACGCUGGCGGCAGGCUUAACACAUGCAAGUCGAGCGGGGAAGAGUAGCUUGCUACUUUACCUAGCGGCGGACGGGUGAGUAAUGCUUAGGAAUCUGCCUAUUAGUGGGGGACAACAUCUCGAAAGGGAUGCUAAUACCGCAUACGUCCUACGGGAGAAAGCAGGGGAUCGCAAGACCUUGUGCUACUAGAGCGGCCGAUGGCAGAUUAGGUAGUUGGUGGGAUAAAAGCUUACCAAGCCGACGAUCUGUAGCUGGUCUGAGAGGACGAUCAGCGCAACGGGGACUGAGACACGGCACAGACUCCUAGGGGAGGAAGCAGUCGGGAAUGUUGGACAAUGGGCGCAAGCCUGAUCCAGCAAUGCCGCGUGCAGGAAGAAGGCCUUCGGGUUGUAAACUGCUUUUGUACGGAGCGAAAAGGCUCCCUCUAAUACAGGGGGCUCAUGACGGUACCGGAAGAAUAAGCACCGGCUAACUACGUGCCAGCAGCCGCCGUAACAC